AGCCAUCUUGGUGUAGUGGUUUCAGUGAUGGACUAGGACUCUGGGGAUCAGGGUUCAAAUCCCUGCUUGGCCA